CCAAGUUUACAACUCCCAAACCCCUGUGAACAUACCACUUGUUGCCUCGGCGGAUCAGCCCGCUCCCGGUAAAACGGGACGGCCCGCCAGAGGACCCCUAAACUCUGUUUCUAUAUGUAACUUCUGAGUAAAACCAUAAAUAAAUCA
rnacentral:misc_RNA from 1 species